rnacentral:rRNA from 1 species
AGUGAACGCUGGCGGUAGGCCUAACACAUGCAAGUCGAACGGCAGCACAGUAAGAGCUUGCUCUUACGGGUGGCGAGUGGCGGACGGGUGAGGAAUACAUCGGAAUUUACUUUUUCGUGGGGGAUAACGUAGGGAAACUUACGCUAAUACCGCAUACGACCUACGGGUGAAAGCAGGGGAUCUUCGGACCUUGCGCGAUUGAAUGAGCCGAUGUCGGAUUAGCUAGUUGGCGGGGUAAAGGCCCACCAAGGCGACGAUCCGUAGCUGGUCUGAGAGGAUGAUCAGCCACACUGGAACUGAGACACGGCCCAGACUCCUACGAGAGGCAGCAGUGGGGAAUAUUGGACAAUGGGCGCAAGCCUGAUCCAGCCAUACCGCGUGGGUGAAGAAGGCCUUCGGGUUGUAAAGCCCUUUUGUUGGGAAAGAAAAGCAGCAGGUUAAUACCCCGCUGUUCUGACGGUACCCAAAGAAUAAGCACCGGCUAACUUCGUG